UACGGAGGGUGCAAGCGUUAUCCGGAUUUAUUGGGUUUAAAGGGUCCGUAGGCGGACUUAUAAGUCAGUGGUGAAAGCCUGUCGCUUAACGAUAGAACUGCCAUUGAUACUGUAAGUCUUGAGUAUAUUUGAGGUAGCUGGAAUAAGUAGUGUAGCGGUGAAAUGCAUAGAUAUUACUUAGAACACCAAUUGCGAAGGCAGGUUACCAAGAUAUAACUGACGCUGAGGGACGAAAGUGUGGGGAGCGAACAGGAUUAGAAACCCCA
rnacentral:rRNA from 1 species